GAUGAACGCUGGCGGCGUGCCUAAUACAUGCAAGUCGAGCGAACGGACGAGAAGCUUGCUUUUCUGAUGUUAGCGGCGGACGGGUGAGUAACACGUGGAUAACCUACCUAUAAGACUGGGAUAACUUCGGGAAACCGGAGCUAAUACCGGAUAAUAUUUUGAACCGCAUGGUUCAAAAGUGAAAGACGGUCUUGCUGUCACUUAUAGAUGGAUCCGCGCUGCAUUAGCUAGUUGGUAAGGUAACGGCUUACCAAGGCAACGAUGCAUAGCCGACCUGAGAGGGUGAUCGGCCACACUGGAACUGAGACACGGUCCAGACUCCUACGGGAGGCAGCAGUAGGGAAUCUUCCGCAAUGGGCGAAAGCCUGACGGAGCAACGCCGCGUGAGUGAUGAAGGUCUUCUGAUCGUAAAACUCUGUUAUUGGGGAAGAACAUAUGUGUAAGUAACUGUGCACAUCUUGACGGUACCUAAUCAGAAAGCCACGGCUAACUACGUG
rnacentral:rRNA from 1 species